GUUAUGUUUUGAAUUAUGCUACAGGUAUAAUGUUAUUAUAUCUUUGGUAUUUUGCUUUAUAAGAACAACAUAUAUUUUCCUCUUGUGUUGUCAGUUUACCUACUCAGUGAAUGCUCUCACAAGCUUUGCUGCUUCCCUGACACACUUCUGCUGGUUUCAGGUUAUAGUUAUGAUCAUUUCCAAUCUUCUUGUCUAGCUAACUACUAACUUAAUCAGUCAGAUAUUGUUUCACUACUGUAC